rnacentral:lncRNA from 1 species
GUGCACUAUAUAUAGAGAAUAGAGUGCACUACUUAGAACCAGUAUAUAGAGAAUAGGGUGCACUACUUAGAACCAGUGCACUAUAUAGAGAAUAGGGUGCACUACUUAGAACCAGUAUAUAGAGAAUAGAGGGCACUACUUAGAACCAGUGCACUAUAUAGAGAAUAGGGUGCACUACUUAGAACCAGUAUAUAGAGAAUAGGGGGCACUACUUAGAACCAGUGCGCUAUAUAUAGAGAAUAGGGGGCAUUACUUAGAACCAGUGCGCUAUAUAUAGAGAAUAGGGGGCAUUACUUAGAACCAGUGCACUAUAUAGAGAAUAGGGUGCACUACUUAGAACCACUAUAUAGAGAAUAGGGUGCACUACUUAGAACCAGUGCACUAUAUAGAGAAUAGGGUGCACUACUUAGAACCAGUAUAUAGAGAAUAGAGGGCACUACUUAGAACCAGUGCACUAUAUAGAGAAUAGGGUGCACUACUUAGAACCAGUAUAUAGAGAAUAGGGGGCACUACUUAGAACCAGUGCACUAUAUACAGAAUAGGGGGCACUACUUAGAACCAGUGCACUAUAUAGAGAAUAGAGUGCACUACUUAGAACCAGUAUAUAGAGAAUAGGGGGCACUACUUAGAACCAGUAUAUAGAGAAUAGGGGGCAUUACUUAGAACCAGUCCACUAUAUACAGAAUAGGGGGCACUACUUAGAACCAGUGGACUAUAUAGAGAAUAGGAGGCACUACUUAGAACCAGUAUAUAGAGAAUAGGGUGAACUACUUAGAACCACUAUAUAGAGAAUAGGGGGCAUUACUUAGAACUAGUGCACUAUAUAGAGAAUAGGGGGCACUACUUAGAACCAGUGGACUAUAUAGAGAAUAGGGUGCACUACUUAGAACCACUAUAUAGAGAAUAGGGGGCACUAAUUAGAACCAGUAUAUAGAGAAUAGGGUACACUACUUAGAACCAGUGCACUAUAUAUAGAGAAUAGGGGGCACUACUUAGAACCAGU